rnacentral:rRNA from 1 species
GAUGAACGCUGGCGGCGUGCCUAAUACAUGCAAGUCGAGCGAACAGACGAGGAGCUUGCUCCUCUGACGUUAGCGGCGGACGGGUGAGUAACACGUGGAUAACCUACCUAUAAGACUGGGAUAACUUCGGGAAACCGGAGCUAAUACCGGAUAAUAUAUUGAACCGCAUGGUUCAAUAGUGAAAGACGGUUUUGCUGUCACUUAUAGAUGGAUCCGCGCCGCAUUAGCUAGUUGGUAAGGUAACGGCUUACCAAGGCGACGAUGCGUAGCCGACCUGAGAGGGUGAUCGGCCACACUGGAACUGAGACACGGUCCAGACUCCUACGGGAGGCAGCAGUAGGGAAUCUUCCGCAAUGGGCGAAAGCCUGACGGAGCAACGCCGCGUGAGUGAUGAAGGUCUUCGGAUCGUAAAACUCUGUUAUUAGGGAAGAACAAAUGUGUAAGUAACUAUGUACGUCUUGACGGUGCCUAAUCAGAAAGCCACGGCUAACUACGUGCCAGCAGCCGCGGUAA